CCCCUAGAUGUUCUGGGCCGCACGCGCGCUACACUGAACAGUUCAACAAGUCUUAACCUUGGCCGAUAGGUCUGGGUAAUCUUUGAACGCUGUUCGUGAUUGGGAUAGACCUUUGCAAUUAUGGGUCUUCAACGAGGAAUUCCUAGUAAACGCAAGUCAUCAGCUUGCAUUGAUUACGUCCCUGCCCUUUGUACACACCGCCCGUCGCACCUACCGAUUGAAUGGUCCGGUGAAAUCUCGGGACGGCGGCUUGGUCGCUUGCGUCCGACUGCUGAAACUUGAUUAAACCAUAUCAUUUAGAGGAAGGUGUAGUCGUAACA
rnacentral:rRNA from 1 species